GAAUGUGGCGCUUGACCAUGCUACUGAUAGACGCAAAUCAGUUGUAUCAUCAAUGCGCCGCACUCAC
rnacentral:pre_miRNA from 1 species